UGAGGAAUAUUGCACAAUGGAGGAAACUCUGAUGCAGCAACGCCGCGUGGAGGAUGACGCAUUUCGGUGUGUAAACUCCUUUUAAGAGGGAAGAUAAUGACGGUACCUCUUGAAUAAGCACCGGCUAACUCCGUGCCAGCAGCCGCGGUAAUACGGAGGGUGCAAGCGUUACUCGGAAUCACGGGGCGUAAAGGGUGCGUAGGCUGGCUUCUAAGUCAGAUGUGAAAUCCAAUGGCUUAACCAUUGAACUGCAUUUGAAACUGGAAGCCUAGAGUUCAGAAGGGGCAGGUGGAAUUAGUGGUGUAGGGGUAAAAUCCGUAGAUAUCACUAGGAAUAUCAAAAGCGAAGGCGAUCUGCUGGGAUGAUACUGACGCUGAGGCACGAAAGCGUGGGGAGCAAACAGG
rnacentral:rRNA from 1 species